UUAUGGCUCAGAACGAACGCUGGCGGCGUGCUUAACACAUGCAAGUCGAACGCGAAAGGGACUUCGGUCCUGAGUAAAGUGGCGCACGGGUGAGUAACGCGUAGAUAACCUGUCUUCAUGUCUGGAAUAAUACGCCGAAAGGGGUACUAAUACCGGAUAUUCUUGCUUUUCAUAAGUUAUGCAAGCAAAGGUGGCCUCUGCAUAUGCUACUGCAUGAAGAGGGGUCUGCGUACCAUUAGCUAGUAGGUGGGGUAAUGGCCUACCUAGGCGACGAUGGUUAGCGGGUCUGAGAGGAUGAUCCGCCACACUGGCACUGGAACACGGGCCAGACUCCUACGGGAGGCAGCAGUGGGGAAUAUUGCGCAAUGGGGGAAACCCUGACGCAGCGACGCCGCGUGAGUGAGGAAGGCCUUCGGGUCGUAAAGCUCUGUCAAGAGGAAAGAAGUGUACAAUGGCUAAUACCUGUUGUAUUUGACGGUACCUCUAAAGGAAGCACCGGCUAACUCCGUGCCAGCCGCCGC
rnacentral:rRNA from 1 species